AUGGGGUGACUGCGUACCUUUUGUAUAAUGGGUCAGCGACUUAUAUUCUGUAGCGAGGUUAACCGUAUAGGGGAGCCGUAGGGAAACCGAGUCUUAACUGGGCGAAUGAGUUGCAGGGUAUAGACCCGAAACCCGGUGAUCUAUCCAUGGGCAGGUUGAAGGUUGGGUAACACUAACUGGAGGACCGAACCGACUAAUGUUGAAAAAUUAGCGGAUGACUUGUGGAUGGGGGUGAAAGGCCAAUCAAACCGGGAGAUAGCUGGUUCUCCCCGAAAGCUAUUUAGGUAGCGCCUCGUGAACUCAUCUUCGGGGGUAGAGCACUGUUUCGACUAGGGGGUCAUCCCGACUUACCAACUCGAUGCAAACUGCGAAUACCGAAGAAUGUUAUCACGGGAGACACACGGCGGGUGCUAACGUCCGUCGUGAAGAGGGAAACAACCCAGACCGCCAGCUAAGGUCCCAAAGUCAUGGUUAAGUGGGAAACGAAGUGGGAAGGCUCAGACAGCCAGGAUGUUGGCUUAGAAGCAGCCAUCAUUUAAAGAAAGCGUAAUAGCUCACUGGUCGAGUCGGCCCGCGCGGAAGAUGUAACGGGGCUAAACCAUGCACCGAAGCUGCGGCAGCGACACAAAGUGUUGUUGGGUAGGGGAGCGUUCUGUAAGCCUGCGAAGGUGUACUGUGAGGUAUGCUGGAGGUAUCAGAAGUGCGAAUGCUGACAUAAGUAACGAUAAUGCGGGUGAAAAACCCGCACGCCGGAAGACCAAGGGUUCCUGUCCAACGUUAAUCGGGGCAGGGUGAGUCGACCCCUAAGGCGAGGCUGAAAAGCGUAGUCGAUGGGAAACGGGUUAAUAUUCCCGUACUGGUGGUAACUGCGAUGGGGGAACGGAGAAGGCUAGGUUGUCCGGGCGACGGUCGUCCCGGUUCAAGCAGGUAGGCAGAGUGAUUAGGCAAAUCCGGUCACUUAAUGCUGAGAUGUGAUGACGAACCACCAAGGUGGUGAAGCAAUUGAUGCCCCGCUUCCAGGAAAAGCCUCUAAGCUUCAGGUUACCAACAAUCGUACCCCAAACCGACACAGGUGGUCAGGUAGAGAAUACUCAGGCGCUUGAGAGAACUCGGGUGAAGGAACUAGGCAAAAUGGUGCCGUAACUUCGGGAGAAGGCACGCUGGCGGUAGGUAAAGUCCCUUGCGGACGGCGCUGAAGCCAGUCGAAGAUACCAGCUGGCUGCAACUGUUUAUUAAAAACACAGCACUGUGCAAACACGAAAGUGGACGUAUACGGUGUGACGCCUGCCCGGUGCUGGAAGGUUAAUUGAUGGGGUUAGCGCAAGCGAAGCUCCUGAUCGAAGCCCCAGUAAACGGCGGCCGUAACUAUAACGGUCCUAAGGUAGCGAAAUUCCUUGUCGGGUAAGUUCCGACCUGCACGAAUGGCGUAAUGAUGGCCAGGCUGUCUCCACCCGAGACUCAGUGAAAUUGAACUCGCUGUGAAGAUGCAGUGUACCCGCGGCAAGACGGAAAGACCCCGUGAACCUUUACUAUAGCUUGACACUGAACAUUGAGCCUUGAUGUGUAGGAUAGGUGGGAGGCUUUGAAGUGUGGACGCCAGUCUGCAUGGAGCCAACCUUGAAAUACCACCCUUUAACGUUUGAUGUUCUAACCUAGGCCCAUAAACUGGGUCGGGGACCGUGUCUGGUGGGUAGUUUGACUGGGGCGGUCUCCUCCUAAAGAGUAACGGAGGAGCACGAAGGUUGGCUAAGCAUGGUCGGACAUCAUGCGGUUAGUGCAAAGGCAUAAGCCAGCUUGACUGCGAGAGUGACGGCUCGAGCAGGUACGAAAGUAGGUCUUAGUGAUCCGGUGGUUCUGAAUGGAAGGGCCAUCGCUCAACGGAUAAAAGGUACUCCGGGGAUAACAGGCUGAUACCGCCCAAGAGUUCAUAUCGACGGCGGUGUUUGGCACCUCGAUGUCGGCUCAUCACAUCCUGGGGCUGAAGUAGGUCCCAAGGGUAUGGCUGUUCGCCAUUUAAAGUGGUACGCGAGCUGGGUUUAGAACGUCGUGAGACAGUUCGGUCCCUAUCUGCCGUGGGCGUUGGAAGAUUGAGAGGGGUUGCUCCUAGUACGAGAGGACCGGAGUGAACGCACCACUGGUGUUCGGGUUGUCAUGCCAAUGGCAUUGCCCGGUAGCUAAGUGCGGAAGAGAUAACCGCUGAAAGCAUCUAAGCGGGAAACUUGCCUCGAGAUGAGUCUUCCCUGUCGCUUUAAGCGACCUAAAGGAACGUUUAAGACUAAGACGUUGAUAGGCUGGGUGUGUAAGCGUAGCGAUACGUUGAGCUAACCAGUACUAAUGAACCGUGAGGCUUAACCUG
rnacentral:rRNA from 1 species